AGUCGUUUAAUGGUCGACAAUUAACGAUGAAAAGGACCUCGAAGACACGCUUUCAUCGAGAAGCGACGUUCGAUAUUAAUUUCAGAAUGAUCAGUAGGAAACAUUCUAUACUUGGAAUAUAUUCCGAAGAUCUUCAAUCGAUCACCUCAAAGAGACGAUAAAAAUUAUUCACGAAGAACACCUGUCACAUGUGCUCACGCCGUGUCCUCGCGAAGAUCAGGCAUCGAUUACACUCCUUCGAGAGUUAAUUAACCAAUCAAACUGACGGUGGAAUUUGAAAGAAUGCCGUCACGUGUCCUGUGACUAAUUGCUAUUUCCUUUUCGACGAACGAUCGAUCAUCUUUAUGGAUUUUAUACUUUGUCCAAGUUCGUGUAUGAAUCGUUUACUUAGAAUCCAGCGGAAUGAUUCGACAGAGGACUUAAAAAUAGCUCCAUGGAACUAUCCUCAAGAUUCGUUCACAAAGCGACACGCCUGUUUAGAUUCUCCUUUGACGAUAUAACUCACAAUCACUCCAUUAACUAAUUACCUUUAAUGAUUUCUCUCCAUAGAAAGUAUACGUACAUAAAUAUCAUAAACGAGAAGAAUCCUUAUUAAACCAGCUUAACAUGACUUGCUGUACGUGGAGAAUGGCAUUAAAUAUUUGAAGGAAGAAUCGAUAGUAAAAUAUUCUUGUCGCAGAUCUAUUAUUAUCGCCAAAUAUUCCGGAAAAAAGCCAGGCAAAGUAAAGUGGCCAUUGCGAUUCAGGAUGAGUCCGAACACGAGAAAACACGGUGAAUACGGAAUUUCCGAUAUCAAGUGUAAAGCAAAAAAGAGACGAGCUAUGCGACUGCCAAGUGACCUUGUACAAGAUGCAAUUGAAGAGUAGGAUAGUCAUGCAAGUAGACUGUUUUAUUUGUUUCCUAAUUGACCAAUAACACACAGUAACCAUAAACGUCUCAAAGGGUCGAGGAAUCAAAAUCCAAGAAGCGUUGAAGAAGCAAAGGACCUCAAUCAAUUUUAUGUCCCCUGGAUCAAGCGAUUGUCAGUGGCAAAGAUAAAGAGAGAGACAAGAGAGCAAAGAGAAGAGGACCAUGCGAUGCACCUGCUCUCAGGUGUACGUCCGCACCUUCCAUCCGCGCGUGCAAUGCAUCUCUUUCCUCUCCCUUUUUCUCUCGUGCAAUCUCGCUUCUCCUGCAUCAGCGAAUGUGCAAGCUGGUCGAUGUUAAUCCUUAGUUAAGGAUUCCACGACUAACGCUGAUAGUCUCGGGGAGACUAUGGGCCUAUAGUUCGAUGGGGUCUUUGGUAUGCCACCAGAGAAACUUCAGAGUCUGCUACGAGAUCCUUGAUACGUAAUUGCGAGGUCAGGUAUGCGACACACCUCAAGUUUGAACAGCAAUGAACUAAACGCUUCGAUUAUGUCCGGUUUACCGUGAAACCUUGACAAAAAAACAAAUAGCAUUCGUUCGAGGCGUGUUGGUGACACCAGUCUCGGUUCAUCCAUUAUUCACCGUUCAUCCAUUUACUUCAUUUACCUCGUUCACUUGGUCGUGUCGGCGCAAAAAACCAGCAACCGGACACACUCGUAACGCGUCACUAUCCAAGGAAUGCAUCGCAGAAAAUAAACUCAACGCACGGGAUGUCAUUACCAAGAAAAUGGUUUUUUUCCAUCUAUGCUCCUAGAUUUGUAGCAUUACAAAAUGUCUUUGUUAACGCACAUAAUU